rnacentral:rRNA from 1 species
UGGGGAAUUUUGGACAAUGGGGGCAACCCUGAUCCAGCAACGCUGCGUGAAGGACGAAGGUCUUCGGAUUGUAAACUUCUUUUGUUCGGGACGAAAGCCGCAAGGUUUGACGGUACCGGAUGAAUAAGCCACGGCUAACUACGUGCCAGCAGCCGCGGUAAGACGUAGGUGGCGAGCGUUAUUCGGAAUCACUAGGCGUAAAGCGCGUGUAGGCGGGUGCUUAAGUCUGCUGUGAAAUCUCCCGGCUCAACUGGGAGGGGUCAGCAGAUACUGAGCGUCUAGAGUGAGGCAGGGGGUACUGGAAUUCCCGGUGUAGCGGUGAAAUGCGUAGAUAUCGGGAGGAACAUCAAUGGCGAAGGCAGGUACCUGGGCCUUUACUGACGCUAAGACGCGAAAGCUAGGGGAGCAAACAGGAUUAGAUACCCCCGUAGUCC